rnacentral:rRNA from 1 species
CUAGCGUUGUUCGGAAUUACUGGGCGUAAAGCGCACGUAGGCGGCUUUGUAAGUUAGCGGUGAAAGCCCGGGGCUCAACUCCGGAAUUGCCUUUAAGACUGCAUCGCUAGAAUUGUGGAGAGGUAAGUGGAAUUCCGAGUGUAGAGGUGAAAUUCGUAGAUAUUCGGAAGAACACCAGUGGCGAAGGCGACUUACUGGACACAUAUUGACGCUGAGGUGCGAAAGCGUGGGGAGCAAACAGG